UGAGCAAUGAGGAUAAAAUUUCCAUCUGAUAACCCCUGACGACUGUAUACGCUAUUCUGAGCCAUGG